rnacentral:rRNA from 1 species
CCUGCACAUUUGACGUUACCUACAGAAGAAGACACCGGCUAACUCCGUGCCAGCAGCCGCGGUAAUACGGAGGGUGCGAGCGUUAAUCGGAAUUACUGGGCGUAAAGACGCAUGCAGGCGGCCUGUUAAGUCAGAUGUGAAAGCCCGGGGCGUUAACCUCGGAAUUGCAUUUGAAACUGGCAGGCUAGAGUCUUGUAGAGGGGGGUAGGGAAUUUCAGGUGUAGCGGUGAAAUGCGUAGAGAUCUGAAGGAAUACCAGUGGCGAAGGCGGCCCCCUCGGACAAAGACUGACGCUCAGAUGCGAAAGCGUGGGGAGCAAACAGGAUUAGAUACCCUGGUAG